rnacentral:snRNA from 2 species
GUGGUCACUUCGGAGGCACAUAUAUUAAAAUUGUAAUGAUACAGAGAAGAUUAGCAUGGCCUCUGCACAACGAUGACACGCACGUUUGUGAAGUUUUCCUAUUUUUC